rnacentral:ncRNA from 1 species
GUGACUCUGGAGAAUCCCAUCAACGGGUGCCGAAGGUGCAAGGCGGAAAGAAGGUUUCGCUCAAUCUCUCAGGCAAAAGGACGGAGAAA